rnacentral:rRNA from 1 species
GACAGAGGGUGCAAACGUUGUUCGGAAUUACUGGGCGUAAAGCGCGUGUAGGCGGCUGCGUGUGUCGGGCGUGAAAUCCCAUGGCUCAACCAUGGAAGUGCACCCGAAACUGCGUAGCUAGAGUCCUGGAGAGGAAGGUGGAAUGCUUGGUGUAGAGGUGAAAUUCGUAGAUAUCAAGCGGAACACCGGUGGCGAAGGCGGCCUUCUGGACAGUGACUGACGCUGAGACGCGAAAGCGUGGGGGAGCAAACAGG